GACGAACGCUGGCGGCGUGCCUAAUACAUGCAAGUAGAACGCAGUUGCGAACGGGUGAGUAACGCGUAGGUAACUGCCUCAUAGCGGGGGAUAACUAUUGGAAACGAUAGCUAAUACCGCAUACUUUGAGAUGGACCUGCGUUGUAUUAGCUAGUUGGUGAGGUAAAGGCUCACCAAGGCGACGAUACAUACCCGACCUGAGAGGGUGGACGGCCAAAAUGGGACUUAGGACCGGGCCCGAAUCCUACGGGAGGCAGCAGUAGGGAAUCUUUGGCAAAGGACGGAAGUCUGGACGAGCAACGCCGCGUGAGUGAAGAAGGUUUUCGGAUUGUAAAGCUCUGUUGUUAGAGAAGCGGUAACUAAACAGAAAGGGACGGCUAACUACGUGCCAGCAGCCGCGGUAAUAC
rnacentral:rRNA from 1 species